rnacentral:lncRNA from 1 species
UUCCUUUGACUUGAGAUCGUCAUAGUAAUUGACAAGUUAUUUAUUGUGCUUUGAUACUAGACACCUAUGGCCCUAGGGCGAUAGUUGAAAUGAUAUUGGGUACGAUUGAAUACUUGUAGAAUUAGUGAUUAAUCAAGACGGAAUCUGUCAACUCUUGGUAAUGAGUUUAAGCUCCAUGUUGUCAUGAAUUAUGAACGACCAAACUAAGACCU